rfam:Triticum aestivum genome assembly, contig: Triticum_aestivum_CS42_TGACv1_scaffold_515635_6BS
CUACUACUCCCUCCGUCCGAAAAUACUUGUCAUCGAAAUGGAUGGAUCUAGAUGUAUUUUAGUUCUAGACACAUCCAUUUUGAUGAAAAGUAAUUCCGGAUGGAGGGAAUAUUAU